rnacentral:rRNA from 1 species
GACGAACCGUGCGAACGUUGUUCGGAAUCACUGGGCGUAAAGGGUGCGUAGGCGGGGCUUUAAGUCAGGGGUGAAAUCCUGGAGCUCAACUCCAGAACUGCCUUUGAUACUGAAGAUCUUGAGUUCGGGAGAGGUGAGUGGAACUGCGAGUGUAGAGGUGAAAUUCGUAGAUAUUCGCAAGAACACCAGUGGCGAAGGCGGCUCACUGGCCCGAUACUGACGCUGAGGCACGAAAGCGUGGGGAGCAAACAGG